GGUCCAAUAGCUCAAUGGUAAGAGCAUUCCUUCGGAGGAAGAAAAGAUGGUGGUUCAAGCCCGCCUUGCACCC